AGCUGGGGAGAGGGGGCGGGGCCAGAAGGAACAAAGAGAGGCUGGGCGGGGCCGCGGGUCGGAGCCCGCACCCCGGACCCUGUGCUGACCUGGUUUUGGGCUGGGCUCAGCGCCCACGUGGACUCGGUUCAGCGGUACUCAGUGCUCAUCUCAAAGCUAGAAUAUUGGUUCUAAAGGAAAACUGAGGCUCAAGGAACAAUAUCUCCUGCCAUCCGAAUUACAAUCUUCAUAGCCUGUCCGUCUUCUGGCCACUCAGCAAACAUUUCGAGGUGUGUCGGUAUUGUUAGGAAAGAAAGAGAAAAAAAACUCCCUUUAGGUGCUGUACCGAGCUGGUCUGUCUCUCUGUCGCACUUCGGGAGCCCAGUAUUAAUCUAGUCCCUUUCUGCUCAGAGCCUUGAUUUUUCUUUUUUCCAUCCCCUCCACCAGGCAUGACUCCUAUUCUACCUACCAUUUCCAUUUAUCCAUAUCUGAAUUAUCUUUAAAACCUGCCCAAGCUUUAGAAAACUGUUCUGGAAGGUAUCUCUACAACAUUCGUGGAUUUCCCUCUAUUCCACAACCUGUCCCUCCUCCCCUCCAAGACUUCCCCUCUGCCUCUGACACGAGGCCUUGUGAUCAGGGCUUGAGCCAAUAACAUCCUUCUCUUGGCAUGGAUACCCUCACCAGAAGCCUGUAUCCACUGCAGGACCCAAUCCAACCAUCAGUGACUUCCACCAGACCUCAGUUAGACUGCCCAAAAAUUACAAACCUCUUAACUUCCAGAGAUAGGCCAGCCUGCCCUUCCUAGGUGAGACUCCUCAGUGCACACUAGAGUCUGGGUAGAGCCUCAGUCCUCCUGUCAGACUCUCCGAGCCAACAGAUGAUCUGCUUGCCUAGACACUGGGCCCCCUUGGUACAGCCCUUUCCUCGUGAGAGAAGAACUAGCCUUGGGGAUGGUUUUAAUUGGUGUGGUUAGUGUUCAUUGUCAACUUGAUGGGACAGCCUGGAAAGGAUUACCCCAUAUCGGGGCAUGCACAUACAGAGAGCAGUUACCUAGAUUUUGGUUAAGGUGGGAAGACUAAUAAACACUAAAGGCAGGUAGCACCAGUCACUGGGCUCAGGCCUUGGUCUGUAUGAAAAGGAGAUUGCAGCCGAGGACAGGUGUUCAUCGACCUGGGCUUCUUGAAGGUGAGUGUGGUGUGACCAGCGGCCUCCAGCUCCUGAACCACAGCUAGAGAGCUGUGGGCCAAAAGAAACCUUUCUUUCCUAAGUUGCUUUCGCCCGGGUAUUUUAUCAGUGCAAGAGAAAUAACUAAGACGCUCCGGAACACCAUCCUGCUGUAAGAGCCAGUGCUGGGACAAAGAAGAAGAAUGGCCAGAAGAGGACAUCGGAUCCCACUACAGAUGGUCGUGAGCCAUGAGCCAUGGUUGCUGGGAAUUGAACUCAGGACCUCUGGAAGAGCAGCCAGUGCUCUUAACCGCUGAGCCAUCUCUCCAGCUUAGUUUCAGGGAGACAGCAUUGUAGGUUCUUAUUCUUUUCGAAUCCCAGUGCAAUGUGUACAUUGUCUUCCUUUAAUUACAUUUCGCACAACACACCCCCAAAUCUAACAGGACUCCUGUGAAUGCUGGCAAAACCACGACAUCAUGCUUCAUUGCUCCCUGGAACAAUGCAACAAAUGGUUGUUUGUCUAAUUCAAGCAAUAUGUGUAAGCUGUGUUGAUUAUACAAUCCCACUUCCAGUUUCUAGGGUUUAGUGAUUCCCCCAGGGCUGAAGAGGUGGCUCAGUCAUUAAGAAUGUGCACCUUCGAUCAGAGGAUCAGAGUUCAGAAUUCAGUUGAGGCAGCUUACAAACGCCUGUAACUCCAGCUCAGUGAUUCUCAAUCUUCCUGAUGCUGUGACCCUUUCAUACACUACCUCCUGUUGUGGUGACCCCCAAUCAUAAAAUCAUUUUGUUGCUAUUUCAUGACUGUAAUUUUUGUAUGGUUAUGAAUCGUGAUGAACAUAUCUGAUACGCAGAAUUUCUAACAUGUGGCCCACAAAAGGGUUGAGAACUACUGCUCCAGCUCCAAGGGAUCCAACGCCCCCUUCUGGCCUCCAUGAGUAUCUGCACAGAUGCACACGUUGAAGUAAAGCUUUCCCAACGGUACAUAGCUAAUAGCACAUGGUCUGUAGAGAUGUUUAUGUGAUAUAUCUUACUUGUAAUCCCAAAGGGGAGAAAGCAGAGGCAGGGGCAUUCCCAGUACUUUCUGGCCAGUCAGCCUAGCCUAAUCAGUGAGCCACAGUGAUGAGAGACCCUGUCUCAACAACAAUGAGGAAACGGCAAGUCUGCAGAGAGAUGGUACAGUGGUUAAGAACACUGGCUGCUUGCUCUUGCAAAAGACCCAGGUUUGGUUCCCAGCA